AGCGAACGCUGGCGGCAGGCCUAACACAUGCGAGUCGAACGGACCCUUCGGGGUUAGUGGCGGACGGGUGAGUAACACGUGGGAACGUGCCUUUAGGUUCGGAAUAGCUCCUGGAAACGGGUGGUAAUGCCGAAUGUGCCCUUCGGGGGAAAGAUUUAUCGCCUUUAGAGCGGCCCGCGUCUGAUUAGCUAGUUGGUGAGGUAACGGCUCACCAAGGCGACGAUCAGUAGCUGGUCUGAGAGGAUGACCAGCCACACUGGGACUGAGACACGGCCCAGACUCCUACGGGAGGCAGCAGUGGGGAAUCUUGCGCAAUGGGCGAAAGCCUGACGCAGCCAUGCCGCGUGAAUGAUGAAGGUCUUAGGAUUGUAAAAUUCUUUCACCGGGGACGAUAAUGACGGUACCCGGAGAAGAAGCCCCGGCUAACUUCGUG
rnacentral:rRNA from 1 species